AUGGCUCUGCUUAAGGAAACCUGUGGUAGCAGUUACAUGUUCCAGAGCUGUAGGGAUUCCUCCUCUCCUCCGGGCAGUGAACAUAGCUGGUUCCUCUCGGAGCGGAGACGGCAAACGGCAGACUUCGAUGCCUGUGACGACUGGGCCUACAGCAGCUUCGGCGGUGGCAGAGGGUCCCGCGGCAGUGCUGGUGGCCGUGGUUCCCGUAGCCAGAAGGAGCUGCCCACAGAACCCCCUACGCAGCCUAUGUAGGAAACCUCCCUUUUAAAACAGUUCAGGGUGACACAGACACUAUCCUUAAGGAUCUCAGCAUAAGGAGCGUACAGCUAGUCAGAGGCAAAGACGCAGACAAGUUUAGAGGAUUCUGCUAUGGAGAAUUCCAUGAGGUUGACUCCCUGAAGAAAGCCCUGACCUACGACGGUGCACCGUUCGGUGACCAGUCACUUCGUGUGGACACUGCAGAAGACAGAAAACAAGAUAAAGGUGGCUUUGGAUUCAGGAAAGGAGGAGCAGAUGACAGGGGAAUGGGUGGCUCUCGAGAAUCUAGAGGAGGCUGGGAUUCCCGGGAUGACUUCAGUUCUGGUUACAGGGAUGACUUCCGAGGAGGCCGAGGAUGCAGUCGCCCAGGGGACCAUCGAGCAGGCCCUGCCGUGGGGAGUUGCUUCCGAGAUGGCCCCCCGCUGUGCGGCACCAACAUGGACUUCGGAGAACCCACAGACGACGAUGAAAGAGCCCAGAGACUUCGGCUCCAGCUCACACCUCGGACAGUGGCUACACCCCUCAACCAAGCAGCCAACCCCAGCUCCACCAUCUUUCGGGGGAGCCAGGCUCAGAGAGGAAGUUGUGAACAAGGAGCAGGAACGGGCACGCAGGGGGAAUGGGGUGUAG